rnacentral:rRNA from 1 species
GACCUACGGGACGCAGCAGUGGGGGAUAUUGCACAAUGGGGGGAACCCUGAUGCAGCGACGCCGCGUGAAGGAAGAAGUAUCUCGGUAUGUAAACUUCUAUCAGCAGGGAAGAAAAUGACGGUACCUGACUAAGAAGCCCCGGCUAACUACGUGCCAGCAGCCGCGGUAAUACGUAGGGGGCAAGCGUUAUCCGGAAUUACUGGGUGUAAAGGGAGCGUAGACGGCAAUGCAAGUCCGGAGUGGAAUGCGGCAGCUCAACUGCCGAACUGCUCUGGAAACUGUAUGGCUUGAGUGCAGGAGGGGG